CCUGUAUGCUCUAGUCGGCUGGCCCUCGCGAAAUAUUUGUCGCCAGACCCACUGGCUCCAGGUCAUCUAUAAGUCUAUGCUAGGUAAAGCUCUGCCUUAUCUCAGCUCACUGAUCAUGAUAACGACACCCACCCGAAGCAUGCGCUCCAGCAGGUAUAUCUCACUGGUCAUGAUAACAACACCCACCCGUAGCACGCGCUCCAGCAGGUAUAUCUCACUGGUCACCAUAACAACGCCCACCCGUAGCACGCGCUCCAGCAGGUAUAUCUCACUGGUCAUGAUAACAAUACCCACCCGUAGCACGCGCUCCAGCAGGUAUAUCUCACUGGUCACCAUAACAACACCCACCCGUAGCACGCGCUCCAGCAGGUAUAUCUCACUGGUCACCAUAACAACACCCACCCGUAGCACGCGCUCCAGCAGGUAUAUCUCACUGGUCACCAUAACAACACCCACCCGUAGCACGCGCUCCAGCAGGUAUAUCUCACUGGUCACGAUAACAACACCCACCCGUAGCACGCGCUCCAGCAGGUAUAUCUCACUGGUCACCAUAACAACACCUGCUUUUGCCGUCUUUCCUUCCACUAACUGUAAACAUCAGCUAUCUGAGCAGCUAACCGAUCGCUGCAGCUGUACAUAGUCCAUCUGUAAAUAGCCCACCCGAUCUACCUACCUCAUCCCCAUAUUGUUUUAUUUACUUUUCUGCUCUUUUGCACACCAGUAUCUCUACUUACACACCAUCAUCUGCUCAUCUAUCACUCCAGUGUUAAUUAAUCUGCUAAAUUGUAAUUAUUUCGCUACUAUGGCCUAUUUAUUUCCUUACCUCCUCUCGCCAUUUGCACACACUUUAUAUAGACUUUAUUUUGUUCUAUUGUGUUAUUGACUGUACGCUUGUUUAU
ensembl:lncRNA